GCCACGAGUUACCGGAUGGAGGCUGGGAGGCCCCGCUCCCUGCCUGGCGGGCGCGGGGCGGAGCGGGGCGGACAGCGCGGCGGCCCCAGGAAAACGUCUGUUCAAAGAGGCGAACUCGUGAAUCGCAUCAGCAACAGAAUAUUUGGUCUGUCCAGACACACAAGCCUCCAUAUCUUCUGGGCUAAGCUGAGUCUGUAAGAAGAGUGCCAUCUGGAGGCGAAGGGAGUGAAGAGAAACCAAGGCGAAGAAAUGGAAAGAUCUUUAUAAAGCUAAUCACACACACACACUCAUAUAUAUAUGUGUGUGUAUGGGGGGUACAUACAUAUAUAUAUGUGUAUGUGUGUGUAUGUGUUCACAAUGUGACCAAACACUCAAUGCAUUUUGCAAAUCUUUUAAAACCAUCCUGAAAGCAAAUAUAUGAACAUCUUUCACCUGGUUGUACUCUUGAAGCAUUUCUUUUUUCUCUUAAUUAAAAAAUAACUCCUGCUUUUCCCACCCCAUCUGAACCAACAGGUUAGACUGCUUUUUAAUUGCAUUCUCCAAGCAAUGAAAAUGAAAAAUAAAUUCUGUGCUCCCCAUAAAUGUUAUGCUUUCCUGUUCAAAAUAUUCCUUCUUCAAGGAAAUAACCAUAUAUUUGUCACCAGAUGGUACUAGUAGCAUUAAGUGCUGGUAUAGUAGUUGCACUCUGGGGCUUUCACUGUCCUGGGGACUCACUGUGUGAAGGGUUGUACAUCUGAAAAACAGAUUUGGCUCCAAGGACUUUAAAAAUCAAAAUUACAAAC